AAUAGAUACCCGGGUAGUCCACGCCCUAAACGAUGUCGACUGGUUGUUGGGGGUUUGACACUCUCAGUAACGAAGCUAACGCGUGAAGUCGACCGCCUGGGGAGUACGGCCGCAAGGUUAAAACUCAAAGGAAUUGACGGGGACCCGCACAAGCGGUGGAUUAUGUGGAUUAAUUCGAUGCAACGCGAAAAACCUUACCUACCCUUGACAUGUCCGGAAGGCUGCUGAAAGGCGGCUGUGCCCGAAAGGGAACUGGAACACAGGUGCUGCAUGGCUGUCGUCAGCUCGUGUCGUGAGAUGUUGGGUUAAGUCCCGCAACGAGCGCAACCCUUGUCAUUAGUUGCUACCCGCAAGGGGAGCACUCUAAUGAGACUGCCGGUGACAAACCGGAGGAAGGUGGGGAUGACGUCAAGUCCUCAUGGCCCGUUAUGGGUAGGGCUUCACACGUAAUACAAUGGCGCGUACAGAGGGUUGCCAAGGAGCGAUCUGGAGCCAAUCCCGUAAAGCGCGUCGUAGUCCGGAUUGCAGUCUGCAA
rnacentral:rRNA from 1 species